AUACGGAGGGUGCAAGCGUUAAUCGGAAUUACUGGGCGUAAAGCGCACGCAGGCGGUUUGUUAAGUCAGAUGUGAAAUCCCCGGGCUCAACCUGGGAACUGCAUCUGAUACUGGCAAGCUUGAGUCUCGUAGAGGGGGGUAGAAUUCCAGGUGUAGCGGUGAAAUGCGUAGAGAUCUGGAGGAAUACCGGUGGCGAAGGCGGCCACCUGGACGAAGACUGACGGUCAGGUGCGAAAGCGUGGGGAGCGAACAGGAUUAGAUACCCUGGUAGUCCAUGCCGUAAACGAUGUCGACUUGGAGGUUGUGCCCUUGAGGCGUGGCUUCCGGAGCAAACGCGUUAAGUCGACCGCCUGGGGAGUACGGCCGCAAGGUUAAAACUCAAAUGAAUUGGCGG
rnacentral:rRNA from 1 species